CCGCGUGAGUGAUGAAGGUUUUCGGAUCGUAAAGCUCUGUUGCCAGGGAAGAACGCUUGUGAGAGUAACUGCUCUAAGAGUGACGGUACCUGAGAAGAAAGCCCCGGCUAACUACGUGCCAGCAGCCGCGGUAAUACGUAGGGGGCGAGCGUUGUCCGGAAUUAUUGGGCGUAAAGCGCGCGCAGGCGGCUGUUUAAGUCUGGUGUUUAAUCCUGGGGCUCAACCCCGGGUCGCACUGGAAACUGGACGGCUUGAGUGCAAAAGAGGAGAGUGGAAUUCCACGUGUAGCGGUGAAUGCGUAAAGUGUGGAGAACACCAUGGCGAAGCA
rnacentral:rRNA from 1 species